rnacentral:snRNA from 1 species
CGAGAAGUACCGCAUCAUGCCAG